rnacentral:rRNA from 1 species
CCUACGGGUGGCAGCAGUGGGGAAUAUUGCACAAUGGGGGAAACCCUGAUGCAGCGACGCCGCGUGAGUGAAGAAGUAAUUCGGUAUGUAAAGCUCUAUCAGCAGGGAAGAAAAUGACGGUAUCUGAGUAAGAAGCCCCGGCUAACUACGUGCCAGCAGCCGCGGUAAUACGUAGGGGGCAAGCGUUAGCCGGAUUUACUGGGUGUAAAGGGAGCGUAGACGGCAGUGCAAGUCUGGAGUGAAAGGCGGGGGCUCAACCCCCGGACUGCUCUGGAAACUGUACGGCUGGAGUGCAGGAGAGGUAAGUGGAAUACCUAGUGUAGCGGUGAAAUGCGUAGAUAUUAGGAGGAACACCGGUGGCGAAGGCGGCUUACUGGACUGCCACUGACGUUGAUGCUCGAAAGUGUGGGUAUGAAACAGGAUUAGAUACCCCGGUAGUC